AACCACAGAAAAUCAGUUUCUGAACCAGGAAAAAAAAAAACCAAAACCAAAACUGAACAGAAAAUAGGAUAGAUUAAAUCAGUAGAUACUGGAGAAGACUUUUUCAGACACUCAAAAUUUUAUUACAUCAAAAAGUUCUUCACAUGUGACAUCUAAGAAAUGAAAAAUUUGGAUUUAUUUGAUUACCAUUCUCUGGGGCACGAGAAGAUAAUUUUACAUAGGAGAGGAGAAAUCAGUGACCAUGUUAAAUUACAUGCACUUCAGUAGGCAUAGUCCAAACCAUACGCUGUCAGUGCAAAGAUCCUGGUUUGGCACUGGCUGCACUCAAUCUCCUCAUGCUGCUCUGCACAGGUCUUUCUAAGCUUGAUUUAGGAGUGUCUUCCUUGGGAGGAAAUGCAGCUCAGUCUCAGCUGUGUAAGGACGUGCUGCCAGCCUGUUCACAUAUGAUUGUGGCAACAAAGAUACCCAGUCUGUUUUCUAGUGUUUUUAUCUGGUACUGGUCUCACUGAAUAAUGCAGCAUUUUUUUCUCCUCAGCCCAAUUCAAGGCAGGAGUGUCAUCUGUACAGAGGAGCAUACCAAAGGACAUGAAGAUGCUUUUUUAAAAAGUGAUACAACAAGGAAAGAAAAAUAUCCAGUUUUAUGAUGUGUCCUGUGUAAAACCACUAUGGAGGGCUCAAACCUAAGGAUCUGCCCAACAUCUUUGAUCCCACAGGUGGAUGAGAGGUCACCACUGAACAUAUUGAAUAAGUCCGUGGCCACCAGCAUGUUGCAGGAACUUGGAGAGAAGUCGCAGCUCCUUGCUGGUAUGAGACUGGUAACAUGCUAACCUGUAGCUGGAGAGAACUCACUGAGGGGAUCGAUUACCAUAAUUAGCCCCAGAAGUCACUACUGUACAGAAGUGUGGGAACCAGGUGAAGCCAAGUCUCAGAGGAGGUUGAAAGUGGUGCUCUUGAAUCCAGAUGUACAGAGUGGGAAAUCACUGCCAUUGGAAGAGAACAAUGCAAGAAAGGCUUUGCUUUACCAGCCUGCACUACAAAGGAAAAAAGAAAACCUGAGACAGUACCGAACAUGUCUCUCGGAAAUAAAGGGACAAGUUGUGGGUGACAUCCCAGGCUGCUUGACCUGCCAUGCUUCACAGAAUUACAGGAGAAGAAAGAAAGACAUGCAGCUGAAGUAAUCAUCAGAUUCCCUAUCUGCCACACCUGGAUUAUGAUCACCUCACUGAAAAGCAAAUGCCCACUAAGGAGCAGAUCAUAAUAGCCUGUGUCUCACUGUCAAAAGCAAACAAGGACACUUGUGAAGAUAAAACAAAGCACCUCUAUGAAGGAAGAACAGAAGUAUGCCUUGUGUUCAGGUGGGUUUUACCAGAUGGUAGAUAGUUUUCCAACACAUGUUUAAAAACUAAAGAGGAUUUGUUUGUUUGUUUUUAUAACUAUAUGUUUAUCUGGUUUCUUAACUGUCUAAAAAGAUGUCUCACCGGAAAUGUCUAACUGGCACCAAUUCCAAAUAUGUGUUCUCCAGGAAAUUAGGAAAUUCAUAUUAAAAAAAAAAUACCUCUAGAGGAGAACAAAAGUUUAGAAAUUCCUAGAAUUUCCUACCAAAAAAGAAAUCCUGUUUCUGAAAACUAAAUAUUGCUUGAAUGUGUAUCUUUGAAGAUGUAGUAAAUUGCCAUUCCUAUCUUGGAUGAAUUCCUCACAUAAUUUUUUUUUUUUCUGAAACAGCUGAGGCAGUAACCCUGAACAAUGCCUUCAAGUAAAGCAGGGCCCUAAAACCUGAGAACUCUGUAGCAGAGUACCAGGAAAUUUUGUGGUAUGUGUGUGGCUUUUGUGGCAUUGUGAGACCCAAAGAUUAUUAACCACAAGAAGCUUUUGCUUCAAUUGAGCAGAAAUCUGUCAUUUGGUAGCAGCGUGACAAAAUAUCUUUUUGUUGUUGUUGAAACGUUUUGGUUUCCAGGAAUCAGCAUUUUCUAAUAAAAAUGAGGGAAAAAACA
rnacentral:lncRNA from 1 species